rnacentral:lncRNA from 1 species
CAAUAUACGAAAUUCAGCAAAACAAGAACCCUAAUAACACUAUCAAUCUUCACAUUUCUUGAUAACAAUAUACAUAAUUUAGCAAAACAAGAACACUAAUAACACUAUCAAUCCUCUCAUUUCUUGAUAACAAUAUACGAAAUUCAGCAAAACAAGAACCCUAAUAACACUAUCAAUCUUCUCAUUUCUUAAUAACAAUAUACAAAAUUCAGCAAAACAAGAAUAUUAAUAACAUUAUCAAUCUUCUCAUUUCUUGAUAACAAUAUACAAAAUUUAGCGAAACAAGAACACUAAUAACAUUAUCAAUCUUCUCAUUUCUUGGUAACAAUAUACAAAAUUUAGCAAAACAAGAACACUAAUAACACUGUCAAUCUUCACAUUUCCUGAUAACAAUAUACAACAUUUAGCAAAACAAGAACACUAAUAACACUAUCGAUCUUCUCAUUUCUUGAUAACAAUAUACAAAAUUUAGCAAAGCAAGAACACUAAUAACACUAUCAAUCUUCUCAUUUCUUGAUAACAAAAUAGAAAAUUUAGCAAAACAAGAACACUANUAAUAACACUAUCAAUCCUCUCAUUUCUUGAUAACAAUAUACAAAAUUUAGCAAAACAAGAACAUUAAUAACAUUAUCAAUCUUCUCAUUUCUUGAUAACAAUAUACAAAAGUUAGCGAAACAAGGAGACUAAUAACACUAUCAAUCAUCUCAUUUCUUAAUAAUAAUAUACAAAAUUUAGCAAAACAAGACCCCUAAUAACACUAUCAAUCUUCUCAUUUCUUGAUAACAAUAUACAAAAUUAAGCAAAACAAGAACACUAAUUACACUAUCAAUCUUAUCAUUUCUUGAUAACAACACACAAAAUUUAGCAAAACAAGAACACUAAUAACACUAUCAAUCUUCAUAUUUCUUGAUAACAAUAUACAAAAUUUAGCAAACCAAGAACACUAAUAACACUAUCAAUCCUCUCAUUUCUUGAUAACAAUAUACAAUAUUCAGCAAAACAAGAACCCUAAUAACACUAUCAAUCUUCUCAUUUCUUGAUAACAAUUUACAAAAUUCAGCAAAACAAGAACACUAAUAACACUAUCAAUCCUCUCAUUUCUUGAUAACAAUAUACAAAAUUUAGCAAAACAAGAACAUUAAUAACAUUAUCAAUCUUCUCAUUUCUUGAUAACACUUCUCUCUAGUAACAAUUACAAAUUUAGCAAAGAACACUUAAUAACUUAUCAAUCUUACUUCUGAUAACAUCACUAUUUAGCAAAACACACUUACAAUCAAUCUUCUAAUUUCUGAUACACAUACAAAAUUAGCCCAAAACAAAGACAUAUACACUAUCAUCUUCAUUUUUGGUACAAUAUACGUAUUAGCACAGAAAUAAUACCAUCUCCAUCCUUCUUUUUAGAUACAAUAAUACAAAAUUAACAAAGAACACUAUAACCUUCAUCCUGAUUCUAUAACAUAUACAAUAGAAACAAAAGUACGACUAAUUAACACUAUCAUUUCUCAUUUCUUGAAACAAUUACAAAUUUAGCCAACAAAGAACACUAAUAAACCUAUCAUCUUCAUUCUGAUACAAUAUACAAUUUAGGGAAACAAAGACGCUAGUCAUUGCUUACUCAUCUGAUACAAUAUACAAAUUGCAAAACAAACACUAAUAACUAUCAUCUUACAUUUCAUUGAUAACAUAUACUCAAAUCAGCAAACAAAGACACUACACACUAUCAAUCUUCUCAUUCAUUCGAACAUAUACCAAAUUCAGCAAACAGACAACUAAUAACACUAUCAUUCCUCAUAUUGAACAAGAACAAAUAGCAAACAAAAAGAAGAUUAAACAUUAUCCAUUUUCUCUUCUGAUACAAUACAAAAUUUAGACCAAAACAAGAACACUAUACCUAUUCAUCUUCUCAUUUUAAUCAAAAAAUAGAAUUAGCAAAACACACUAAACCUAUCAAUCAUCUCAUUUUGAUAACAAAUACAAAAUUGCAACAAACACAUAACCUACUCAUCUAUUCAUUUUGGAUCACAAUAUACAAAUUAGCAAACCAGGGGAGCACUAAUAAUUAUCAAUCCUCUAUUCUGUAAACAACUAUUUAGCAAACGCUAGACUAUCAUCUUUCAUUUCUAUAACUAUAAUUUAGCAAAACAAGAACCUAUCCCACUGUCAAUCCUCUCAUUUUUGUACAAAUAUCAAAAUUCGCAACCAGAACACUAAUACCAUCAUCUUCAUUUCUUGACACAACAAUUUAGCAACAGAACUAAUAAUAACGAUUAUCAAUUAUCUAUUCUGAUAACAAUACAAAUUAAGCGAACAAGAAAUAUACACUAUAAUUUCUCAUUCUUAUAACAUUACAAUUAGACAGACCUAAUAACACUACAUCUUUCAUUUCUUGUAACAUUACAAAUUUGCAAACAACACUAUAACAUCAAGUUCUCUUCUGAUGACAAUAUACAAAGUUUGCAAAGCGGGAGGAACUCCAACUGUGGCAGGUGUUCAUUUUUGGGGAGGUACAAAUAGUAGACAUUUGAGGCAACUGGAUAAUCAGGUAUCAUCUUUUCUGUAACAUAUACAAAUUUUAGCACAAGACGGGGACUUAACAUUCGCUUCAUUGUGGCGGGAACAAUAGGUAGGUUAGCAAACAUCGCUAAUGCACUAUCAAUUCCGUGGGUGUCUUGAUAAAUGGGUCAAUUAGCACGAAACACUAUCAUAUCAGAUCUUCAAUUGGUGAACAUGUAAUAAGGGUAGCAAACGAAGACUACACUUCAUCCUCUUUUUCUUGGAUCUGGCGUGGAUUGACAAGGUGUGAAGACAAAUACACUAUCAGGUUUCGUGGGGUUCUUGUAAAUUACAAAAUUGGUUGCGAACGAGGAACAUAACACUAUCAAUUUUCAUUUUGAUACUGAUAAAUUUAAGCCAGACAUAUCACUAUCUUCUAUUUGUCAAUAAAUUUAGAACGCUCAUUUUCAUUUCUUAGAUACAUUACAAUUAGCAAACAGAAAUUAAUCUUCAAUUCUUGUACAAUAUCAAAUCAGCAGACAAAUACCUUUUUUCUCUUCUUAUAUCAAAUUCGCACAAGACACUAUACCUAGCAUCCUAUUUCUUGUAAAAAUAUACAAAUUUAGCAAACAAGAACAUUAAUACAUUAUCAUCUUCAUUUCUUGAACAUAUACAAUUUAGUACAAACAGAACCAUAACCUAUCAAUCUUCUCAUUCUUAAUAACAUGAUUUGCUUUAACUAGACCUAAACUCAUCAUCUGCUUUGAUAAAGACAAAUUAGCAAACAGGACCUAUACUAGAUUUCUCAUUCUGUAAAUAUACAAUUUAGCAACGAAGAACCUAAAUAACAUUAUCUCUCUAUUUAUUUAACUAUACAUAUUAGCAAACAGCACUUCUCUUCUGAUUUUUAACAUUACAAAUGUGCAAACAAGACACUAAUACUUCAUCUUAUUUUUAGUAAGAUACAAUUCGCACAAGAACAUGGAAUCAUCAUCAUCUUCAUUUCUUGACUUACAAUUAGCCAAACAGGAAAUUAAUAACUUAUCAAUCUUCUCAUUUCUUGUAACAAUAUACAAAUUUAGCCGAACAGCAUAUAACGCUAUUCACUUUAUUUUUAACAUACAAAUUAGACAAGAACCUAAUAACACUUCAUUAUUCAUUGUCUUUAACAAUAUAAAAUUAGCAACAGAACACUAAACAUAUCAUCCUCUUUUGCUUGAACAAUAAUCAUAAUUUGCACAGAACAUACUUUCUCUUUCUUAUACUUCAAAUUAGCAAACAAACCUUACCUUCAUCCUUAUUUUGAUAACAAUAUACAAUUCGCAACAAACCUAACCUAUCAUCCUAUCAUUUAUUGCACAUAUACAUUUAGCAAACAGCUUAAUACUUAUCAAUCUUCUCAUUGCACAUAUACAAAUUAGCCGACAGAAUUAACCUAUCAUUUCAUUUCUUUACACAUCUACAGAUUUUAAGCACAAGACCUAAUACCAUAUCUCUUUUUCUUGUAACAUAUACAUCAACAGACCAUAAAUCAUUCUAUUUCUGAUCAUAUACUUGCAGGAAACAUAACACUGUCAUUUCUCUUUCUUAUAACAAAUGAAAUGGUUAGCACAAGAAUAAUAAGAUCAAUCUUCUAUUCUGUAAAAUCAAUUUAGCAAACAGCACUUAAUAUCAUCCUCUCUUCUUGUACAUCAUAAUUUAGCCACUACUAUAACAUACAUUUUCAUUUCUUGUACACUCAUUAGCAAACAGAACUAUCACUUCCAUUAUUUCUUGAACAUUUAAUGCAAACGAAGAUUAACCUCUCUCCUCUUUUCUGUAACAAUAUACAAAUUUACAAGAAACAUAAUAACUUCAAAUCUUCUGAUUUCUUGAUAAUAUACAAAUUUAGACAAAACAGACAUAUCGACUAUAUCUUAUUUCUUGAAACAUUAUACAAUUAGGCAACAGCCUAUACCUAUCAUCUUCUAUUUUUGUAAUUAAUUAGGAAAAAACAUAUCAUCUUUCAUUCUUGUACAAUAUAAAAUUAGCAAACAAAGCACAAUAAACCUCUAUUCAAUUCUUGUAACAUUACAAAUUCAGCAAACGAACAUAAUACAUAUCAUUGGCUCUUCUUGAUAACAAUAUACGAAUUCAGCAAACAGAACACUAAUAACAUUCAUCGUCCUCUCUUUCUUUGUAACAUUACAAUUAGCAAACAGACAUUAACAUUAUCAUUCUCAUUUACUGUAACAAUAUACAUUUGCAAACAGACCUAUCAUAUCUCUUCUCAUUUUUAAAUACAAAAUAGAAAAUUAGCAACAAGAUAAUAACACUAUCAAUAUCUCAUUUCUGUACAAGUACAAAAUUUAGCAACAAGACAUAUACACUAUCAAAUCUUCUUUUUCUGAUAACAUAUACGACUUAGCAACAAGAACACUAUUAUCACCUCUAUUCUGAUACUUACUUUGCAAAACAGAACCUCAAUUCUUUCUUUAUAACUGAAAAUAUUGCAAACAAAGAACAUAUACAUUCAUCUCUAUUCUGUACAUAUACAAAUUAGCAAACAGACACUAACACUUCAAUCUUCUUUUGAACAAUUCAAAAUUUGCAAAACAGCUUCUAAUUAUCAAAAUUUUCUUCUGAUAACAAUAUACAAAAUUCUAGGACGCAUAUCCUUCAUUUUCUUUACAUAUACAAAAUUUAGCAACAGAACUUACCUAUCUUUUAUUUCUUGUAAAGAAAAAUUAGCACAAACUAAUAACGCAAUCCAUUUUCUCAUUUCUGAAACAAUUACAAAUUUAGCCAAAGCAGAACUAUACUUCAAUCUUCUCUUUCUUAAUAAGCAAAUAGAAAUUGACAAGAACACUAUACUACAUCUUCCUUUCUUGAUACAUAUCAAAUUUAGUCGCAAACAAGCUAAUACUUAUCAAUCCUUCUUUCUUGAUCAAUCUAUAAAAUGUUUUUUAGGGGCAAAAACUACACUAUAACACUAUCCUUUCAUUCUUGAUAACAACAUACAAAUUUGAACAGAAACCUUAACCAUCUUCUUCAUUUCGAUCUUAAUAAUUUUCAACAAAACAAUAAUACACUUCAAUCCUCUCAUUUCUGAUAACAUAUACAAAUAACAAAGCAAGACACUAAUACACUUCAAUCUUCUGAUUUCUUGUAACAUAGUACAAAAUUUAGCAACAGACAUUAACACUAUCAAUAUUUUCUGUACAAUAUACAAUAAAUUAGCACAAGACAUAUAACACUAUCCAAUUUCUAUUCUGUACAAUAUACAAAUUUAGGGGAAACAAGAACACUACAAUCUUCUCAUCAUCUAACAAUAUACUAUAGCAAAACAGACCAUAAAAACUAUUCAAUCCUUCCACAUUGUUUGAUACAAUAUACAAAAUUCAGCAACAAACAUAUAACACUAUCAAUUUCUAUUCUGAAACAUAUCAAAUCAGAAAACCAGAACCACUAAAUCACAUAUCAUCUCUUCUUUCCUUGGAUACAAUAUACAAAAAUUGUAGCAACCAAGAAAGAAAACAUUAUGCUGAGGAGGUCUCUAUUGUGUCGGUGGGAGUGGACAUUACGAAAAUGGGUGGGCAAACAAGAACACUUGUAGGAUAACGCGUGUAUCAAAUCUUUCAUUUCUAGUGGAGGACAAUAAAAAUUAGGCAAGACGGGGCAGGACGGGGAGGGCGUAAUGGUGGCACUAUCAAUCGUGGGGGAUCUCAUUCUGUGGUAUGUGGGACAAAUACAAAUUUAGCAAAAACGAAGACGGGACGUAAUAACACAUCAAUGGUGUGGUAUUCUCGAGGUGGAGAAAUUUACAAAGUUGAGCAAACGGAGACACUAUACAUACAGGUUGUGUCUCUUCAUCUUGAUAACAUAUACUAUUUAGCAAAACAAGAACACUUCAAUCUUCUCAUAUUCUAAUAACAACUGUAUAACAAAUUUAAGCAAACAAUGAACACUAUAACAACUUAUCAAUCCUCUCGAUUUCUUGAUACACAAUAUACAAAAUUCAGCAGAAACAGAACAUAAUCAACACUAUCAUCCUCUCAUUUCUUGACAACAAAACAAUUUAGCAAAACAAGAACAUGUACUAACACUUAUCAAUCUUCUUCAAUUUCUUGAGAUACAAUAUACAAAAUUUAGCGAACAAGAAGAACACUUAAUUAACACGAUGCAAUUUUCAUUUCUUAAUACAACUAUACAAAAUUUAGCAACCAAGAACACUAAUACAACUAUCAUAUCUUCUCAUUUCUUGCAUACAAUAUACAAAUCUAGCACAAACGAGAACACUAAUAACACAAUCAAUUUUCUCAUUCUUGAUAAAAUAUACAAAAAUUUUAGCAAAGCAAGAACACUAAUAACACGUAUCCAAUCACUUCUCAUUUCUUAAUAACAAUAGAAAAUUUUAGCAAACAAGAACAACUUAUAACACUAGUCAAUGCUCUCAUUCGUUUGCAAACAAUUAUACAAAUUAUAGCCCACAAGACAAUAAUACAAUUAUCAUCCUCUCAUUUCCGAGCGGGGACACUACAUAAUUUAGCAAAAACAAUAACCUAAUAACACUAUCAGAUCUUCUCAUUCUUGAUAACAACAUACAAAUUUAGCAAACAAGAACAUAAUAACCUAUACGCUUCACAUUUCUUAGAUAACAAUAUCAUAAUUUAGCAAAAACUAAGACAAUAAGAACACUCUCAAUCCUCUCUUUUCUGAUAAACAAUAAUACAAAUUUAACAAAAGAGAACACUAAAUAACACUAUCAAUCUUGCUGAUUUCUUGAUAAACAAUAUACAAAUCUUGGCCCCACAACAAGAAAACACUAAUAACACAUCAAUCUUCUCAUUUAUGAUAGAUAAAUAAACAGAAAUAAAUACAUGACCCAUCUCUAUAUCAAAAACAAAGAUAGCAAAACGCAUUUCAAUUCACAUAAAAUAGAAACACAAUCACUCAUUCUUAACAUAUACAAAAUUUAAAAACCUAAUACUAUCAAUUCUUCUUGAUAACAUAUACAAAAUUUAGCAAAACAAGAACACUAAUAACUAAUCAAUCUUCACAUUUCUUGAUAACAAAACAAAAUUCUAGCAAACAGACAACCUAAUAACACUGAUCAAUCUUCUCAUUUCUUGAUCAACAAUAUACAAAUUAGCAAAACUAAGAACACUAAAUAACACUAUAAUCUUCUCAUUCUUAUAACUAAUACAAAAUUUAGCAAACAGAUUCCUAAUACACUAUCAUCUUCUCAUUUCUUGAUAACAUAUACAAAAUUUAGCAAACAAGACACUAAUACACUACAAUCUUCUCAUUUUCUGAUAACGAAUUAUCAAAUUUAGCAAAACAGAACACUAAUAACACGUAUCACUUCUCAUUUCUUGAUAACAAAUAAGAAAUUUCAAACAAGCACUAAUACACUAUCAUCUUCUCAUUUCUUGAUAACAAAUACAAAAUUAGCAAAACAAGAACACUACCAUAACACUAUCAAAUCCUCUCAUUUCUUGAUAACAAUAACGAUAAAUUUAGCCAAAACAAGAUACACUAUACUCAAUCAUCUCUCAUUGUCUUGAUAAGCAAUAUACAAAAUGUUGAGCAAAACAAAAAACAAUAAUAACACUAUCAAUCGCUCUCAUUUCUGACAACAAUAUACACAAUUCUAUGCACACAGAACCCUAAAACACUUAUCAUUUCUCAUUUUCUUGAUAACAAUAACAAAAUUCUAGCAAAAGAACACUAAUACACUAUAAGCAAUCUCUCAUUCCUUGAUAACAAUAUACCAAAAUUUACACAACAAAGAACAUCUAAUAAACAUAUCAUCUUCUCAUUUCUGAAACAAUAUAACACAAAUUUAGGAAACAAGCCGAACAACUAAUAAUACUAUCAAUCAUCUUUCUUUACUUCAACAUAUACAAAUAUUAGCAAAACAAGCACACAAUAACACUAUCGAUCUUCCUCAUUUCUUUGAUAACCAAUAUACAAAUUAGCUAAACAAGAACACUAAUAACACUUAUCAAUCGUCUUCAUUUCUUAGUAAACAUAUACAAAUUUAGUCAAUAACAAAAACUAAUAACACUAUCAAUUCUCUCAUUCUAAUAACAAUAAUACAAAAUUUAGCAAACAAGAACCUAAUACACUAUCAAUCUUCACAUUCUGUGGAUAACAAUAUACAAAAUUUAGCGAAACAAAGAACCACUAAUAACACAAUCAAUUUUCUCAUUUUGAUAACAAUAUCAAAGUUUAGCAAGCAAGAACACUAAAUACACUAUCAAUCUUCUGAUAUUCUGAUAACAUAUACACAAUUUAGCCAAACGAAGAAACAUUAUAACACUAUCAAUCUAUUCAUUCUUAAUACAUAUACAAAUAUUAGCAAACAAGAACACUAAUAACACUUCAAUCUUCUCAGUUUCUUCGUAACAUAUACAAAAUUUUAGGCAAAACAGAACGAUAAUAACCUCUCAAUCUUUCUAUUUCUUGUAACAAUAUACAAAAUUUAGGAAAACAAGAACACUAUCAAUCUUCUCAUUUCUUUAUAACAAAUAUACAAAUUUAGCAAACUCAAGCACUAAUUUAACUAUCAAUCUUCACGAUUUCUUGUAUAUAUACCAAAAUUCAGCAAAACAAGAACCCUAAUAACACUAUCAUCUUCUCCUUGAUAACAAUAUACAUAAUUUAGCAAAACAAGAACACUAAUACACUAUCAAUCCCUCUUCAUUUAUUUGAUACAAUGUACAGAAAUUUGAAUCAACAAGACAUUAAUAACACUAUCAUCUAUCUCAUUUCUUGAUAACAUAUACAAAAUCUAGAAAACAGAAGCACCUAAUACACUAUCAAUCUCUCAUUCGUGAUAACAAUAUUACAAAAUUCAGCAAAGCAAGAACACUAAUACACUAUCAAUCUCUCAUUUCUGAUAACAACAUACAAAAUUUAGCAAAACAGAACAUCUAAUAACAUUAUCAAUCUUCUCAUUCUUCUGAUAACAAUAUACCAAAAUUUAACAACAGAACACUAAUAACACUUAUCAAUUCUUCUCAUUUCUUGCAUACAAUAUACAAUAAUUGUAGCAGAAUACUUAAAAACACUAUCAACUUCUUCUUGCAUAAAAUUGCAAAAAGAAUAUAACCUUUAUUUCAUCUCUAACAUAUACAAAAUUUUUUAGCAAAACAAGAACACUAAUAACAUAUCAUCCUCUCGAUUUCUUGACUAAAAUUAUACAAAAAUUUCAAGCAAACAAGACAUAAUAACACUAUCAUCCUUCUCAUUUCUUGAAACAAUAUAACAAAUUUCAGCACCAAACAAAGAACAUAAUAACAUCUUCAAUCUCUCAUUUUUUGAAUACAAUAUACAAAAUUCUAGCGAAACAAGAACCUAAUAACACUAUCGAUUUUCCUGGCAUUUCUUGAAUAACAAUAUACAAAUUAGCAAAACAAGACCAUUAAUAACAUAUCAAUCUUCUCAUUGUCUUGAUACAAUAUACAAAAUUUGCGAAACAAGGACACUAAUAACACUACAAUCAUCUUUCUCAUUUAUCUUAUAACAAUUUAUACAAAAUUUAGCAAAACCAAGACCCUAAUAACCGAUCAAUCUUCUCAUUCCUUGAUAACAAUACAAAUUCAGCAACAAGAACCUGAAUACACUACUUCAUCUUCUCAUUUCUGAUCAACAAUAUACAAAUUUAGCAAAACAAGAGACACUAAUACACAUUCUAUCACUUUCAACUCUCAUUGCAUGACCUUUGGCUAACAAAAAGGAUACCCAAAUUUAGCAAACAACAAUACAAUAAUCACCAUUAUCCAACAUCUUCUCAUUUCUUGAUAACANACUAUCAAUCUUCUCAUUUCUUGAUAUAUACAAAAAUGUUAGCGGAAAACAAGAACACUAAUAACACUAUCAUCAUCUUCUCAUUUCUUACAUACAUAUAAUACAAAAUUUAGCAAAACAAGACACCUAAUAACACAUCAAUCUCUCAUAUUCUUGAUAACAUAUACAAAAUUAGCAAAACAAGAACCCUAAUAACACUAUCAAUCUUCUCAUUUCUUGAUAACAAUAUACAAAAUUCAGCAAAACAAGAGACACUAAUACAUUCACUCAAUCUCUCAUUUCUUGAUAUACAAGAUAUACACAAAUUUAGACAAAACAGCAAAUCAAAUUAAUCACAUUAUCACAUCUUCUCAUUUCUUGAUAUACAAAUUAUAAAUUACCUUCAAUUUCUCUUAUUUGUUCUUCCCUCUACCGCCUCCGGAUUGAUACUACUAGGUUUUUUACUAGCUUUGAAAGGAGAUCGGAAUAUUGCUCUAUUGGCAGUCGGAAAAAAUUUUUUUAUAAGCCAUCCUUCCUAUUUCCUUCAUGUCCAGAAUGAAUAAAUAUACAAGAAUGUUAGCAAAACUAGGAAAAAAAAAAGAACGACUAGAUUUUAACCUACUUUCUGUUUAAUCUUUUCUCAUCUUAUAACUAAUUUAAUAUAUAUAAAUUUAGAAUCGUGUGUUAGAGAAAAAAAAAAGAAAAAAAAAAGAUAUACUAAUUUAUACACUAUUUCUAUUUCAUUUCUUCAUGAUUUCUUGAUAAGAAAAAUACUCUAAAAUUUAGCAUUAAACUUAAGAAACACAACUAUAUAAUAUCUUAUUUCUUCACAUUUUCCUUUCGUUAACAAUUAGUGAAAAUAAUUUCUAAGGAAAAUAAGUGUAAAAGAGACGAAAAACGAAAAAAAAAAAAAAAAAGAGGAACGAGAAGAAACAUAAGAAGAAUAAAAACAACGAUAAAAAACUCUGAGGAUUUUCCUCUUUAAUAAGCUUCAGUUUGCGGUGUUAUGGAUACUAACCAUACAUAAUAAACGGUUUCACGCAAAUUAUCCGAUUUUUAUCAUCAGAGCAGAAACAUCAACGAGAACGCGAGCUAUGUUUUUGAAGAGAACACUUGGAAGUCUCUCUUGAUAACUGUGGUCGCUAUAAUAUAGUGAUAGGCGUUAUGUCUUAGGGACACGCUUGAGAGCAUCUAUGGUAUCAACUCGAAUCAAAGGAGUGAGAGAUAGUAAAUCAAGGAUUCAUAAAUCUACAAUAACACUUAUGUGUUUUGUCUUGUCGAAAACUAGAGGAUUGGAUCAUUUUCUUCUCGGUGGUCUUUAUACAAAUCAAUAGUCAACUUUAGAUUAAUAAAUAUCUUACCAUUAUUUCCUUCAGCUUAUUAGAAUUUGGUGGUGUGGACGUUACUCCUUAAGCUACAGAUAGGGAAUCGAAAUUGAAUAAAACAGGGGAGGUGGGGUAGCAGAAUUUAGGGCAUUAAAGCGGAAGGGAAGGUGGACGAGGACUGAGGCUGGGGAGAUAGACACGGGUGGAAUGCGAGAGGUCCUCUCAUGAUGUGCGGAGUUGAUAACAAAAGUGGAUACAGAGAGCAAGGUUCGGUAACCGACCUAAACAAAUCUUUGUUGAUUGUUCUCUCUUUUCAUAUAAUCUGGCUAAGUUUGCAUAAAUUGAAGUCUGAUAGUUUGGUGAAUUAAUAGUAAAACUUUUAAUCACUACCACUUACAUUGUGUGCAAUUUAAAGAUUGUAAUCAGAACAUAUUAAAUUGGUAUGCAAGCAUUCACUUUCGAUUGCAGAAUCCUAUAAGGAAAAAUUCAUGGCACUCAGUUAAUUGAUGAAUAGAAUAAAAUUGAGAACUUAGGGUUGGAGUGCACACAAGUGAUUAUUCAUAUAAAUGGAUUAUUCAGCUUAAGAGUCGAUUAAUGAUAACAAACAUAAAUAACAACCUCUUCACCCACUAAUCAAUAGCUCUUCUGUUCUCAAUUAUUUCACUUAUUCUCUUAUGUGUCUAUCCAUUAGCAUGAGGACACAUACUCCAAAGGAUUGUUGUAAAUUAAUUGAUAUGCAUUUAAUUUUUAAAAUAGUUCGUUAGAUUAUAUCUCUUUUAGAUCAGUCUCCCAUUAUGGUUUACACAGCAAUCUCCGAUCUUUCUACUAACGGAACGUUUUAAGAAACAAGAACACUAAUAAAACUAUCAAUCUUCUCAAUUCUUAAUAACAAUAUACAAAAUUUAGCAAAACAAGAACACUAAUAACACUAUCAAUCUUCUCAUUUCUUGAUAACAAUAUACAAAAUUUAACAAAACAAGAACACUAAUAACACUGUCAAUCUUCUCAUUUCUUGAUAACAAUAUACAAAAUUUAGCAAAACAAGAACACUAUCAAUCUUCUCAUUUUUUGAUAACAAUAAAGAAAAUUUAGCAAAACAAGAACACUAAUAACACUAUCCAUCCUUUCAUUUCUUGAUAACAAUAUACAAAAUUCAGCAAAACAAGAACCCUAAUAACACUAUCAAUCUUCUCAUUUCUUGAUAACAAUAUACAAAAUUCAGCAAAACAAGAACACUAAUAACAGUAUCAAUCCUCUCAUUUCUUGAUUACAAUAUACAAAAUUUAGCAAAACAAGAACAUUAAUAACAUUAUCAAUCUUCUCAUUUCUUGAUAACAAUAUACAAAAUUUAGCGAAACAAGAACACUACUAACACUAAAUCAAUCUUCUCAUUUCUUUUAAUAAACAAUAUACAAAAUUUAGCAAAACAAGAACACUAAUAACAUCUAAUCAAAUCUUCUCAAUUUCUGAUGUAACAAUAUACAAAAUUUAGCAAACCAAGAACAUAAUAACACUAUCAAUCUCUCAUCAUUUCUUGAUAAACAAUAUACAAAUUUUAUGCAAAACAAGAAACACUAAUAAACACUAUCAAUCUUUCCAUUUCUUGAUAACAAUAUACAAAAUUUAGCGAAACAAGAACAAUAAUAACACUACACAAUCUUUAUUCUGAAUAAACAAUAUACAAAAUUUAGCAAAACAAGAACCAUCUAAUAAGCAUUCUAUCAAAUCUUCUCAUUUCUUGAUAACAAUAUACAAAAUUUAGCAAACUAGAUACACUAAUACACUAUCAAUCUUUCUCAUUUCUUUGAUAACAAUAUAUCUACUAAAUAUUAGCAAAAACAAGAACACUAAUAACAAAUGUAUCAAUCCUCUCAUUUCUUAAUAACAAUCUAAAUAAAAUUUAGCAAACAAGACAAUAACACUUCAAUCCUCUCAUUCUGAUAACAAACAUAUAACAAACAAACACUAAUCACUAUCAAUCUUCUGCAUUUCUUGAUGAACAUAUACAAAAUUUUAGCAAAACAAGACACUAAUAACACAUAUCAAUCUUCUCAUUUUUGAUAACAAUAUACAAAUUAAAAAAAACCAAGAACACUAAUAACACUAUCAAUCUUCUCAUUUCUUAUAACAAUGAUACUAAAAUUUAGCAAAACAAGAACACUAAUAACACAUAUCAAUCUUCUGACUUUCUUGAUAACAAUAUAAAAAAAUUUAGCAGAAACAGAACACUAAUAAACUAUCAAUCUUCUCAUUUUCCUUAAUAACAAUAUACAAAUUUAAAAACAAGAACACUAAAUAACACUAUCAAUCUUCAUUUCUUGAUAAACAAUAUCAAAAUUAGCAAAACAACAUUAAUAACACUAGUCAUCUCUCAUUUCUUGAUACAAUAUACAAAUUUAGAAAAACAAGAACACUAUACACUAUCAUCUUCUCAAAUUUUCUUGAUAACAAUAUACAGAAAUUUAGCCAAUAACAAGAACACUAAUAACACUAUCAUCUCUCAUUUCUUGAUACAAUAUAUCAAAAUUCGCAAUACAAAGAAACUAUAACACUAUCAACUUCUCAUUCUUGAUAACAAUAUACAAAUUAGGCAAACACAAAACACUAAUAACACCUAUCAAUCUCUCAUUUCUUGAUAACAUAUACAAAAUUUAGCAAAACAAGAACAUAUAACAUUAUCCAUCUUCUCAUUUCUUGAUAACAAUAUACAAAUUUACGAAACAAGAACACUAAUAACACUAUCAAUCUUCCUCAUUUUUGAAUCAACAAUAUACAAAAUUUAGCAAAACAAGAAACUAAUAACACUAUCAAUCUUUCUCAUUUCUUGAUAAAAUAUACAAUUUAGCAAAAACAGAAGCACUAAUAACACUAUCAAUUGUCCUCAUUUUCUUUGAUAACAAAUACAAAAUUUAGCAAAAACAAGAACACUAUAACACUAUCAAUCUUCCAUUUCUUGAUAACAAAUACAAAUUUAGCAAAACAAGAACAAUAAUAACACUUCAAUCUUCUUUCCUUGAUAACAAUAUACAAAAUCUAGCAAAAAAGAACACUAAUAACACUAUCAAUCUUCUGUUCUUUUGAUAACAAUAUACAAAUUUGCAAAACAGAGAACACUAAUAACACUUCAUCUUCUCAUUUUUCAUAACAAUAUACAAAUUUACAAACAAGAACAUAAUAACAUAUCUAUCUUCUCAAUUUUCUUUGAUAACAAUAUACAAAUUUAGCAAAACAAGAACAUAAUAACACUAUCAAUCUUCUCAUUUCUGAUAACAAUAUACAAAAUUUAGCAAAACAAGAACAAAUAACAUAUCAAUCUUCUAUUUCUUGAUAACAAUAUACAAAUUUAGCAAAACAAGAACACUAAUAACACAAAUCUUCUCAUUCUUGAUAAAUAUACAAAAUUUAGCAAAACAAGAAACACUAAUAACAUUAUCAAUUCUCUCAUUUCUUAAUAACAAUACAUAAUUUAGCAAACAAGAACAUAAUAACACUGCUUCAUCUCUCAUUCUUGAUAACAAUAUACAAAAUAUAGCAAAACCAGAAACACUAAUACACUCAUCAAUCUUCUCAUUUCUUGAUAACAAUAUACAAAAUUUGCAACAGAACAUAAUACACUAUCAAUCUUCUCAUUUCUUGAUUAACAUAUACAAAAUUUAAAAAAAAACAAGAACACUAAUAACACUAUAUCUCUCAUUUCUUGAUAACAAUAAUACAAAAUUUAGCAAAACAAGACACUAAUAACAUUCAAUCUUCUCAUUUCUUGAUAAACAAUAUAAAAAAUUUAGCAAAACAAGAACAUAAUAACUAUCAAUCUUCUCAUUUCUUAAACAAUAUACAAAAUUUAGAAAAACAGAACACUAAUAACAUAUCAUCUUCUCAUUUCUUGAUAACAAUAUACAAAUUUAGCAACAAGAACACUAAUAACACUUCAAUCUUCUCAUUUUUGAUAACAAUAUACAAAAUUUAGCAAAACAAGAACACUAUCAAUCUUCUCAUUUUUGAUAACAAUAUACAAAAUUUAGCAAAACAAGAACACUAAUAACACUAUCAUCUCUCAUUUCUGAUAACAAUAUACAAAAUUCAGAACAAACAAGAAGCUUCAUUCUUGAUAACAACUAUCAUUCCAACAAGACAUAUCAUUCCAUGUCUGAUAAAUGAAAAUUUCUAAGCAAAUCAAGACACAAUAAACAUCCACUACAUUUGAACAAUUUUACGAACAAGAAAUGAUACACUCUCCAAUUCUCAUUCUGAUAACAAUAUACAAAUUUAGAAAACAAGAACUUAUCAAUCCUCUCAUUUCUUGAUAACAAUAUACAUAAUUUAGCAAAACAAGAACACUAAUAACACUAUCAAUCUUCUCAUUUCUUGAUAACAAUAUACAAAAUUUAGAAAAACAAGAACACUAAUAACACUAUCAAUCUUCACAUUUCUUGAUAACAAUAUACAUAAUUUAGCAAAACAAGAACAAUAAUAACACUCUCAGUCCUCUUUUUUCUUGAUAAUAAUAUACAAAAUUUAACAAAAGAAGAACACUAAUAACACUAUCAAUCUUCUGAUUUCUUGAUAACACUAUACAAAAUUUAGCAAAACAAGAACACUAAUAACACUGUCAAUCUUCUCAUUUCUUGAUAACAAUAUACAAAAUUUAGCAAAACAAGAACACUAUUAAUCUUCUCAUUUUUUGAUAACAAUUUACAAAAUUUAGCAAAACAAGAACACUAAUAACACUAUCCAUCCUCUCAUUUCUUGAUAACAAUAUACAAAAUUCAGCAAAACAAGAACCCUAAUAACACUAUCAAUCUUCUCAUUUCUUGAUAACAAAAUUUAGCACAAACAAGAACACUAAUAAACACUAUCAAUCUUUCUUGAUAACAAUAUACAAAAUUCAGCAAAACAAGAACACUAAUAACACUAUCAAUCUUCUCAUUUCUUGAUAACAAUAUACAAAAUUCAGCAAAACAAGAACACUAAUAACACUAUCAAUCCUGUCAUUUCUUGAUAACAAUAUACAAAAUUUAGCAAACCAAGAACAUUAAUAACAUUAUCAAUCUUCUCAUUUCUUGAUAACAAUAUACAAAAUUUAGCAAAAUAAGAACACUAAUAACACUAUCAAUCUUCUUAUUUCUUGAUAACAAUAUACAAAAUUUAGCAAAGCAAGAACACUAAUAACACUAUCAAUCUUCUCAUUUCUUGAUAACAAAAUAGAAAAUUUAGCAAAACAAGAACACUAAUAACAAUAUCAAUCCUCUCAUUUCUUGAUAACAAUAUACAUAAUUUAGCUAAACAAGAACACUAUCAAUCUUCUCAUUUCUUGAUAACAAUAUACAAAAUUUAGCAAAACAAGAACACUAAUAACACUAUCAAUCCUCUCAUUUCUUAAUAACAAUAUACAAAAUUCAGCAAAACAAGAACCCUAAUAACACUAUCAAUCUUCUCAUUUCUUGAUAACAAUAUACAAAAUUCAGCAAAACAAGAACACUAAUAACACUAUCAAUCCUCUCAUUUCUUGAUAACAAUAUAAAAAGUUUAGCAAACAAGAACACAAUAACACUAUCAAUCUUCUCAUUUCUUAAUACAAAUAUAGAAAAUUUAGCAAAACAAGAACACUAAUAACACUAAUCAAUCUCUCUCUUUCUUAGAUAACAAUAUACACAAAUUUUAGCAAAACAAGAACACUAAUAACAUUAUCAAUCUUCUCAUUUCUGAUAACAAUUAGACAAAUUUAGCAAAACAAGAACACUAUAUAACACUAUCAAUCUUUCUCAUUUCUUGAUAACAAUAUACAAAAUUAUAAAAACAGAAACACUAAUAACACUAUCAAUCUUCUCAUUUCUUGAUAACAAUAUAACAAAAUUUAGCAAAACAAGAACACUAAUAACACUAUCAAUCUUCUCAUUUCUUGAUAAAAAUAGCAAAAUUAGCAAAACAAGACACUAUAACAACUAUCAAUCUUCUCAUUUCUUAAUAACAAUAUACAAAUUUAGCAAAAAGAACACUAAUAACACUAUCAAUCUUUCCAUUUCUUGAUAACAAUAUACAAAAUUGCAAAACAAGAACACUAAUAACACUCAAUUCUUCUCAUUUCUUGAUAACAAUAUACAAAAUUUAGCAAAACAAGAACACUAUCAAUCUUCUCAUUUCUUGAUAACAAUAUACAAAAUUUAGCAAACAAGAAACACUAAUAACACUAUCAUCUCUCAUUUCUUGAUAACAAUAUACAAAAUUCAGCAAAACAAGAACCUAAUAACAUAUCAAUCUUCUCAUUUCUUGAUAACAAUAUACAAAAUUCAGCAAAACAAGAACAUAAUAACUAUCAAUCCUCUCAUUCUUGACAACAAUAUACAAAAUUAAGGCAAAACAAGAACAUUAAUAACAUUAUCAAUCUUCUCAUUUCUUGAUAACAAUAUACAAAAUUUAGCGAAACAAGAACACUAAUAACACUAUCAAUCUUCUCUUUUUUCUUAAUAACAAUAUACAAAAUUUAGCAAAACAAGAACACUAAUAACACUAUCAAUCUUCUCAUUUCUUGAUAACAAUAUACAAAAUUUAGCAAAAACAAGAACACUAAUAAACACAUCAAUCUUCUCAUUUCUUGAUAACAAUAUACAAAAUUUAGCAAAGCAAAGAACACUAAUAACACUAUCAAUCUUCUCAUUCUUGAAUAACAAAAUAGAAAAUUUAGGCAAAACAAGAACACUAAUAACAUCAAUCCUUCAUUUCUUGAUAACAAUAUACAAAUUUAGCAAAACAAACACUAAUAACAUAUCAACCUCAUUUCUUGAUAACAAUAUACAAAAUUUGCAAAACAAGAACACUAUAUUAACACUAUCAAUUUCUCAUUUCUUAAUAACAAUAUACAAAAUUUAGCAAAAAAAACAAAACAUAAUAACACUAUCAAUCUCUCAUUUCUUGAUAACAUAUACAAAAUUUGGCAAAACAAGAACACUAAUAACACUAUCAAUGCUUCUUCAUUUCUUGAUAACAAAUAUACAAAUUUAAAAACAAGAACACUAUAACAACUAUCAAUCUUCUCAUUUCUUGAUAACAAUAUACAAAAUUUAGCAAAACAAGAAACUAAUAACACUAUCAAUCUUCUCAUUUCUUGAUAACAAUAUCAAAAUUUAGCAAAACAAGAACACUAUAACACUAUCAAUCUUCUCAUUUCUUAAUAACAAUAUACAAAAUUUAGCAAAACAAGAACACUAAUAACACUAUCAAUCUCUCAUUUCUUGAUAACAAUAUACAAAAUUUAGCAAAACAAGAACACUAAUAACACUUCAAUCUUCUCAUUUCUUGAUAACAAUAUACAAAAUUUAGCAAACAAGAACACUAAAACACUAUCAAUCUUCUCAUUUCUUGAUAACAAUAUAAAUUUAGCAAAACAAGAACACUAAUAACAACAUCUCAUCCUCUAUUUCUGAUAACAAUAUACAAAAUUCAGCAAACAAGAACCCUAAUAACACUAUCAAUCUUCUCAUUUCUUGAUAACAAUAUACAAAAUUCAGAAACAAGAACACUAAUAACACUAUCAAUCUUCUCAUUUCUUGAUAACAAUAUAAAAUUUAGCAAAAACAAGAACAUUAAUAACAUUAUCAUCUUCUCAUUUCUUGAUACAAUAUACAAAAUUUAGCAAAAAAGAACACUAAUAACACUAUCAAUCUUCUCAUUUCUUGAUAACAAUAUACAAAAUUUAGCAAACAAGAAACUAAAACACUAAUAAUCUCUCAUUUCUUGAUAACAAUAUACAAAAAUUAUAGAAAACAAGAACACUAUCAAUCUUCCUCAUUUUUUGAUAACAAUAUCAAAAUUUAGCAAAACAGAACACUAAAACACUAUCUCUUCUCAUUUCUUGAUAACAAUAUACAAUUCGCAAAACAAGAACACUAAUAACACUAUCAAUCUUCUCAUUUCUUGAUAACAAUAUACAAAAUUUAGCAAAACAAGAACACUAAUAACACUAUCAAUCCUCUCAUUUCUUGACAACAAUAUACAAAAUUUAGCAAAACAAGAACAUUAAUAAACUAUCAAUCUUCUCAUUCUUAUAACAAUAUACAAAAUUUAAGCGAAACAAGAACACUAAUAACACUAUCAAUCUUCUCAUUUCUAUAAUAACGAAUAUACAAAAUUUAGCAAAAAAGAAAACACUAAUAACACUAUCAAUCUUCUCAUUUCUUGAUAACAAUAUACAAAAUUACAAAACAGAACAACUAAUAACACAUCAAUUUUCUCAUUUCUUGAUAACAUAUACAAAAUUUAGCCAAAAGCAAGAAACACUAAUAAACUAUCAAUCUUCUCAUUUCUUAAUAACAAUAAUAGAAAAUUUAGCAAAACAAGAAACACUAAAACACUAUCAAUCAUCUCAUUUCUUAAUAAACAAUACANNNNNNNNNNNNNNNNNNNNNGGCAAAAAAAGAAGGGAGAGGAGGGAGGAGUAGAGGGAAUAUAUAUCUGCAACAUACAGCCAGGAGAGUAUUAUAUUUAAUUUUAAUAUAGAGAGAAUUCACACACAUUACAGUAAGUAACUCAAUAUAUAUAAAUUAACAACAUCUCUAUAUGUAUUAUAAUAUACACAUAUAAUCUAUAUAUUAUCUCAAUCUAGUAUCACUAAUUAGAUAUCACUUAGAUCACAUACACCUUAUAACUCACAAAAAGAAUAUUUUAUAUAUAUAGCGCGAGAGAUAUAUAUACCACUCACUAGAAAAUACACAAAUCACAAAUUAUGACACCACUAUAUUCUUUCACAAAUGAGUUGACAUUAUAUAUAUAAAUACUAAAUAUUGUGUAGCAACAAUGAUAUAAUACUCACGCUUAUAAAUAACAUCUAUAGUAAGAAAGAAGAAAUAUUUAUGAAUAAACAAUCAUUGCUAUAUAAUAAUGAGAGAGUGCACAACACAUAAUAUAGGAACAUCAAUAUAGUAACAACAUAAUUCGGAUUAUGUCUCUCUCUAUAUGCUCAUAAUUUAUGCGUAUUAGAUAUAAAAAUAAUACAAAUAGCUUCUCACAUGCAAUAAAUGCAGGAUCACAAAUAUAUAUUAACACUAGUAAUCACAAACUUACUUACUCAUUUUUCUUGAAUAACUAAAUAUAUAACUUUUAAAGCACAUAACCACACGUAUAUUCACCUAAUAAACACUAUCAAUCUCUCAUUUCUUGAUAACAAUAUACAAAAUUUAGCAAAAACAAGAAACAACUAUAAUAACAUUAUCAAUUCGCUCUCAUUUCUUGAAAACAAUAUACAUAAUUUAGCAAAACAAGAACAAUAAAACACUCUCAAUCCUCUCAUUUCUUAAUACAAUAUACAAAAUUUAAGAAAAAGAAGAAACACUAAUAACACUAUCAAUCUCUGAUUUCUUGAUAACAAUAACAAAAUUAGCAAAACAAGAACACUAAUAACACUAUCAAUCUUCUCAUUUUCUUAUAACAAUAUACCAAAAUUUAAGCAAAACAAGAAACACUAAUAACACUAUCAAUCUUCUCAUUUCUUGAUAACAAUAUACAAAAUUUAGCAAAACAAGAACACUAAUAAACACUAUCAAUCUUCUCAAUUCUUGAUAACAAUAUACAAAAUUAAAAAAACAAAAGAACACUAAUAACACUAAUCAAUCUUCUCAUUUCUUGAUAACAAAUAUACAAUUUAAAAAACAAGAACACUAAUAACACUAUCAAUCUCUCAUUUCUUGAUAACAAUACUACAAAUUGCAAAACAAGAACACUAAUAACACUCAAUCUUCUCAUUUCUUAUAACAAUAAAAAAUUUAGCAAACAAGAACACUAAUAACACUAUCAAUCUUCUAUUUCUUGAUAAACAAUAUAAAAAAUUUAGCAAAAUAAAAACACUAAUAACACUAUCAAUCUUCUCAUUUCUUGAUAACAAUAUAAAAAAUUUAGCAAAAACAGAGACACUAAUAACACUAUCAAUCUUCUCAUUUCUUGAUAACAAUAUACAAAAUUU